rnacentral:rRNA from 1 species
GCCCGCUCAGAAACUUAAAGGAAUUGACGGGGGCCCGCACAAGCGGUGGAGCAUGUGGUUUAAUUCGAUGAUACGCGAGGAACCUUACCUGGGCUCAAAUGUAUGUUGACGUAUUCUGAAAGGGAUACUUCUUCGGACAAUAUACAAGGUGCUGCAUGGUUGUCGUCAGCUCGUGCCGUGAGGUGUCGGGUUAAGUCCCAUAACGAGCGCAACCCCUAUCAUUAGUUGCCAUCAGGUCAAGCUGGGGACUCUAAUGAAACUGCCUACGCAAGUAGUGAGGAAGGUGGGGAUGACGUCAAAUCAGCACGGCCCUUACGUCCAGGGCUACACACGUGCUACAAUGGCCGGUACAAAGGGCAGCUACCUGGUGACAGGAUGCUAAUCUCAAAAGCCGGUCUCAGUUCGGAUCGGAGUCUGCAACUCGACUCCAUGAAGUUGGAAUCGCUAGUAAUCGUGGAUCAGCAUGCCACGGUGAAUACGUUCCCGGGCCUU